UACAGAGGUCCCAAGCGUUGUUCGGAUUCAUUGGGCGUAAAGGGUGCGUAGGCGGCGCGGUAAGUCGGGUGUGAAAUCUCGGAGCUUAACUCCGAAACUGCAUUCGAUACUGCCGUGCUUGAGGACUGGAGAGGAGACUGGAAUUUACGGUGUAGCGGUGAAAUGCGUAGAUAUCGUAAGGAAGACCAGUAGCGAAGGCGGCUCGCUGGGCCAUUCCUGACGCUGAGACGCGAAAGCUAGGGGAGCGAACAGG
rnacentral:rRNA from 1 species